AUAGACAUGGCUCCCGAUCUCUUUCUCUCUUUCUCUCCCUCUUAAACUCUAAUUACAUUUCUUCAAAUCUCUCGUCGACAUCAGUUUACAUAGUAUCAGAGCGGUAGAUCAUGAUGAAUUUCGUCAUUCUCUAUCAAUCGAUAUUACCCUCGAGCUGUUCUGGUGGAGUUUUACAUGUGCAUCAAUUUCUCAAUUUUGCUGUCGUUUAUUUUUUUUGGAUUUUUUGCUGCCUACUAAUUAUUCCGGAGAGGAAUGACUGAUUUUUUUGGAUCCGUCACCAUCCACUGGUUCGAAAGUUCUGGUUUUUCUUUUGAAUCUUCUUUAGAGCUAGGGUAUCUAUCAAGAGGACAUAUCUUUCGGUUGCGAAGAAUUUGGGUAACAUCGAUUUUAUGUUUUGCUCGUGUUCAUCUUCAUUGCAUAUAUUGAACUGAGAUAGAGUUAUACAAUUCCUAUUUUGAUUGUUUGAUUUGUGUUGGCAUUAAUUCACAAAAAUGACUGGUA
rnacentral:lncRNA from 1 species